GUAGAUAUAGUUUAAUUAAAACAUCAGGUUGUGAUCCUGAUAAUAAAAGUUAAAUCCUUUUUAUCCACC
rnacentral:tRNA from 1 species